rnacentral:lncRNA from 1 species
UUUGAUGCUCUUUUGCUUCUCAGUUCGCGUCUUCUUCGUCUCCGACUGAUACAUCAAUUUGGAAGACCUUCUGAAAUCCAAAUAUAUCAUUGAAGGUUGAACACUUCCUGUUUUGAGCUACAAAAAGUCAGCUUCUGGUUCUAUUUUCUUUGAUUGGUAGACGCAUACAUUGUAAUGUUAUUUGCAAGAUAUGUGAUUCUGCAAAUGAGACCAUAACUCAUUGUUUGAAAGACUAUGGUAAGGCUAAACAAUCAUGGAAGCUAUGUCCCCUCUGUUUCAAAACAGA